AGAGUUUGAUCAUGGCUCAGAUUGAACGCUGGCGGCAGGCCUAACACAUGCAAGUCGAGCGAGAAAGCACUUCGGUGUGAGUAGAGCGGCGGACGGGUGAGUAACGCGUAGGAAUUUGCCCAGUAGUGGGGGACAACUUAGGGAAACUUAAGCUAAUACCGCAUACGCCCUAAGGGGGAAAGCAGGGGAUCUUCGGACCUUGCGCUAUUGGAUGAGCCUGCGUCGGAUUAGCUAGUUGGUGAGGUAAUGGCUCACCAAGGCGACGAUCCGUAGCUGGUCUGAGAGGAUGAUCAGCCACACUGGGACUGAGACACGGCCCAGACUCCUACGGGAGGCAGCAGUGGGGAAUAUUGCGCAAUGGGGGCAACCCUGACGCAGCCAUGCCGCGUGUGUGAAGAAGGCCCUAGGGUUGUAAAGCACUUUCAAUUGGGAAGAAAAGCUGUUGCUUAAUACGUAACAGCCCUGACAUUACCUUUAGAAGAAGCACCGGCUAACUCCGUGCCAGCAGCCGCGGUAAUACGGAGGGUGCGAGCGUUAAUCGGAAUUACUGGGCGUAAAGCGCGCGUAGGCGGUUUGUUAAGUCAGCUGUGAAAGCCCCGGGCUCAACCUGGGAACUGCAGUUGAUACUGGCCGACUAGAGUACGAGAGAGGGAGGUAGAAUUCCAUGUGUAGCGGUGAAAUGCGUAGAUAUAUGGAGGAAUACCAGUGGCGAAGGCGGCCUCCUGGCUCGAUACUGACGCUGAGGUGCGAAAGCGUGGGGAUCAAACAGGAUUAGAUACCCUGGUAGUCCACGCCGUAAACGAUGUCUACUAGCCGUUGGGAGACUUGAUUUCUUAGUGGCGCCAGCUAACGCAAUAAGUAGACCGCCUAGGGAGUUCGGUCGCAAGAUUAAAACUCAAAUGAAUUGACGGGGGCCCGCACAAGCCGUGGAGCAUGUGGUUUAAGUCUAUGCAACGCGAAGAACCUUACCAGGUCUUGACAUCCUGAAAACUUUCUAGAGAUAGAUUGGUGCCUUCGGGAAUUCAGUGACAGGUGCUGCAUGGCUGUCGUCAGCUCGUGUCGUGAGAUGUUGGGUUAAGUCCCGUAACGAGCGCAACCCUUGUCCUUAGUUGCUAGCAGGUAAUGCUGAGAACUCUAAGGAGACUGCCGGUGACAAACCGGAGGAAGGUGGGGACGACGUCAAGUCAUCAUGGCCCUUACGACCUGGGCUACACACGUGCUACAAUGGGCAGUACAAAGGGUCGCCAAGCCGCGAGGUGGAGCUAAUCCCAUAAAACUGUUCGUAGUCCGGAUUGGAGUCUGCAACUCGACUCCAUGAAGUCGGAAUCGCUAGUAAUCGUGAAUCAGAAUGUCACGGUGAAUACGUUCCCGGGCCUUGUACACACCGCCCGUCACACCAUGGGAGUGGGUUGCAAAAGAAGUGGGUAGACUAACCUUCGGGAGGUCGCUCACCACUUUGUGAUUCAUGACUGGGGUGAAGUCGUAACAAGGUAA
rnacentral:rRNA from 1 species